GUAAUUAAAAAGAAUAAUGCCUAAAUCUUGUUUGAGGCAAGGUAUGGCUAAAUUAAUACAAAUUCUGAAUUAUACCCUAUGUUUAAAGAAAUGUAGUUUGUUUUUUAUGUUAAAUACAUGUUGGCCAAAAUGUUAAAAUAAUGCCUAGUAUGAGAAUUCUUCAGUUAGAAUGAAUUAUAAUUUUAUUUAGUUAUUUGAAAGUAGUGACUUCUGAAUUUUAAAUUGUAUUUCAGGACUGAGGAUGUAGUUCAGUGGUAGAGUGCUUGCCUUGCAUGCUUAAGGCCCUAGGUUCAAUCCCCACCAUUCCAGAAAAAAACUUGAUUUCUGGGCACAGUGGCACAUGCCUGUAAUCACAGUAACUUAGGAGGCUGAGGCAGGAUGAUCACAGGUUCAAGGACAGCCUCAGCAAUUUAGGCACUAAGCAACUUAGCAAAACCCUGUUUUCAAUAAAAAAUAAAAGUGCUAGGGAUGUAACUCAGUGGUAAAUUGCCCUUGUGUUCAAUCCCCAAAAUAAUUUUUAAAAAAAUUAAAAACUACUCUUUUCUUAGUAACAAAUAUCACUGACAUAUACUUAAAAAUUUCUGUAUAAAAUUAUACAACUUCCUAAUUAUUUAAAUUGGAAGUACUGUUUAAAUGUAUCAAUAAGUUAUUUUCCAAAUGUUUUUCUGUAGAAUUCAAAUUAACAUGUAAUGGGUGAUAUGCCAAUACCAUAAUUCUCAUAUGCCAAUCUUGACUUUCUACUAUUCUUAUGAAGGUGACUGGUAAUACCUCAGCCACUUCAGUACUAGGAUUCUAGAUUGGUCCUUCAUCUAACCUAUACACCUUGCUGUUUCUUCAUCAUUUGGGACCAUAAAAUUGAAAAUAAAACAUUACUCCAACAUUAUAGUUUACAUAUUAUUAAAGUUUACUGAGUUUUUGUAAUUUGGACAUUAUUUAAUUUUUUUCUAGCUAUGCUACUAAUCAUCCUUCUGCUCUUAGGCUCACAGUAAUUGAUUGAUCUUUGUUUAUUCUGUCAAGUUGGAUCCUCCAGAUAGCCAUUGCCUUUUCCUCAAGGGAGCAACGGUGGCUUUCCUUAAUGAUGAAAUUUGGAAUUUGUCAAAUGUACAACAGGGAAAAUAUCUUUAUAUCCUUUUCUUCUACUGACUUGUUUUAGGCUUGAAAUUUACUUUGUACUCUACUUAUAAAUUCUUUCAUAUGAUAAUAAGAACAAUAAUUAUCUGUUAACUCUCCUUGAGUAUGCCAAACAGUGUUCCAAGUGUCUUGCAGGUAUUUGUUUAAAUGUUAAAACAAUCCGUGAGAUUUAAGUAUUAUUAUCUCUGUUUCACAGUUGAAGAAGGAUAGAGAGGUUAGUAUAUGUGCAAGUACACAGCUAUCAAAUGGCAGAACAAGAAUCACACCCAGAGGGCUGGGGAUAUAGCUCAGUUGGUAGAGUGCUUGGCUCAUAUGCACAAGGCCCUGGGUUCAAUCCCCAGCACCAUUAAAAAAAAAAAAAAAAUCACACCCAGAAAGCCUCCCUCCUUUCAGGGUCGGAAAUAAACCAUAAUGUCAUGUGGAAGAUGGUUUGGUUUUCUCUUUAACCUGACAUUACACAUGUCGCCUUGAGAGGUGUACACCUUACCUAGAUGAAGGUAUCAUUGCACAAAAAAAAAAUUAACAGUACUUAUCUAAACAGUUGGUAUUUUAUAAUAUCAGUGCUGAGAAAUCUUCAUCACAUGAGGCUGCACCUGGAUUUUUAAAAAUAGAAAUCAUUCAGUUGGUCAUGGUGAUGCAUGCCUGUAAUCUCAACUACUCUGGAGGCUAAAGUGGGAUUGCAAGUUUGAGGCCAACCUCAGGAAUUUAAUGAGACCCUGUCUCAAAAAAAAAAAAAAAAUGGCGAAGAAUGUAGGUCAAUGGUAAAGUGCACCUGGGUUCAAUCCCUUGUACCACCAAAACAAAAAGUCAUUAGAGACAAAUCUAGUGAAUGAAGUCAAAUCAUUCCCGUUUUGGUGAAAGUAAUGAGAAGUUUUCCUGUGAGAAGGAAGGUGAAAGCAAUUUCAAAAAGAAAAGUCCAAAAUUCUCUCAAGGAGAGUCAAUUUCUCUUAAGAAUUGCUUUUAUUUCAAAGAUCACCAUUUUAUAUACGGUUGUACUUAAUAAGUUUCAAUGUAUUGGAUAAAAAGAUCCUCAUUAUUAUGAUAGAUAACUUUUGUGUGAAGAGAUUUACAUACCUUUACAUUUGUCUCCACUGAACACCAUACAUUACCUUUGUCAAAUGUGCAUAGUUAUACGUGUGUGAUGUGUAGAGAGGUCAGCCCCUUCUAGGAGUAAUGAAAGAUUUAUUUCACAGGUUUAAAAUAGUAAUAUUUAGGGCUAGGGUAUAGAUCAGUGGUAGAGAACCUGCCUAGCAUGUGCAGGGCCUGAUUCAAUCCCAGUACCCCAAACAAAAAAAUAAUAAUAAUAAUGUGUAAUAAGGAUACUGAAUGUAUUGCAUGUUAAGGAGAUUUCAGAACUCUUUCCUAUAGUAAAUAUAGUAGUCUAAAAUAUUUUGAUUAAAUAUUUUUCUAAUAAAUUUUUUAUUUCCUUAUUUUAAAAAUUACAUCCAGCAUCACAAUUAUCUAGGAUAACAUAAGAUAUGAACAAUAGAGAAUAUUAUAUAACUAUUACGAAUAGUAGUAGCAUGGUGCCAUCCACCUAAUCUAGUGGCUAGGGAAUCUGAGGCACGAGGAUCACAAAUUCAAAAGUCAGCCCCAGCAACUUAGGGAGGUCUUAAGCAACUUAUGAAGACCUUGUCUCAAAAAAUAUAUAAAAAGGUAGGAGAUGUGAUUUCAUGGGUUCAAUCCCUAGUACCCAUCCACAAAAAGCAAAUAACAUUAGUUAGCGUGUUUUAAAUCUUACAUGUGAGAAUCAAAGUUGACUGUUUUUCCUGUGUUAAUUCUCUCAAACCACUUCUAUCUAUGAUGAGAACAUUUUAACUUAUUUGCAAAUCCCUGGAUCAGGUUGAAAUAUGACAUGUUUAUAUGAAAUAAUGUUAAAUUUUCCAAAAUCAAAAAUAUAUGCUCUAUACAGACCGUCUCCAACUCAAUGAUGGUUCAUCUUAAGAUUUUUUUACUUUAUGUUAUUUUUUACUUUAUGUUGCCAAAGCAAUAUGCAUUCAAUAGAAAACAUACUUUGAAUUUUUAAAAUUUUUUUUAGUUGUCAAUGGGCUUUAUUUAUUUACUUAUUUAUAUGUGGUGCUGAGAAUGGAAUCCAGUGCCUCACACACAUGCUAGGCAAGCGCUCUACUACUGAGCUACAACUCCAGUUCUGUACUUUGAAUUUAUUUUAAUGUUUUUUUUAUUUUUUAGUUGUAGAUGGACAAAAUACCUCCAUUUCGUUUGUUUUUAUGUGGUGCUGAGGAUCGAACCCAGUGCCUCACUUGUGCAAGGCAGGCGCUCUACCACUCAGCCCCAGCCCCAGCCCUGUACUUUGAAUUUUUACCUUUUCCUGGGCUAGCCAUAUGCAGUACAAUACACUGCAUUUUCUUGCAAUGCUGGGCAGCAACAACAAGAUGUAUCUUCCAGUCAGCUGCAAGAUCAUGAGGAGAAACAACCAAUACUCUGCAGUGUACUGUGUUGCUAAACAGGAUAUUUGGUAGGUUAUUAUUAAAUGUACUUUUGAUUUAUGAUAUGUUUAGAUUAGAGUGGAUUUAUUGGGACAAAAUCCCAUCAUAAGUCAUAGGGCAUCUAUAUGUGUGUGUGUAUAUAUAUAUAUACACAUACACGCACACACACACACACACAACAAUUUAUUUUUCUUUUGUUUGUUUGGUAGUACUGGAUAUUGUAUCCAAGGACACUCUAUCACUGAACUACAUCCUACAGACUCUGUUUUUUUGAGACAAGGCCUUGCCUCAGCAUCCUGAAUCUCUGGGAUUACAGACAUGAGCCAAUGCACCCAGCAAUUUCAGUAACAGAAGUAUAAAGACAUUUGCAGGGAUGUGAAUAUGUGAAUUAAUGUUCUUUAGGUCAUUCCUCUUUUAAAAGGACUUAUGAUCAUAUUUUCUAAUUUAUGUUUUCUAAAGUCCUGAAUCAGUCUUUAGUUCUCACUUGUACAGAGGCCCCUCAAUCACUUCACAUAAGCUUGUUGUUGCUUGAUUUAACAUAGACAACUCCUUCCAGCUUUUCGAUUCUAUGCCUUAAAUAAUUCUUCAGUAUUAGCAAUCACAUAGUUUUGAUCUCAAUAUUAUGAUUUCACUUAAGUUCCCAAAAAAGAUUUUUUCAUUUUACAUAAUUUUGAUUCUGUUAGUGACAUAUAUCACACAUACUUUGGUCUGUUACCAACCAGAUGUAAGAUGUAAAAAGUAAGUGCUAAAUACAUCAUUCUGCCUUCAUUCAUUGGUAUAAAAGUGGUCAUCCCUUAGGCUUGCUGCUCUUCCCACCUGUACUUAGAAAUUUAGACUUAGUAAUACCAACUCUCUCAAAUCAUUCCUGUUUUACAGGUAAACUUGACAGCUUACAGAAUUUCUGUAACAACAUUUUGAAUUUCUGAGAGUGCAAAACUUGAAAAAGAACUGACCUGCCUAGUUUCUUCAGCCUAUUGAAUGUUUUUAGUCCUUUCUCUUUAAUGUUGCCACCUUAACAAUCCUUCCAGCUACGCAUUUUAAAAGAUGUGAUGGAGAAGUUAUCAGCUGGUGUUUUUAGGUAUGCUAAAGUGCCAAAUCAUUUUUAUUUUUCUAUUCUCCAGGAGAUAAUGUUUUUGUUUCAGCUUUUGCAGUAUACCUGUUGCCUCCAUAUCUUAUUUAGUUUAGAUAAACAUUUACCGCUUAAUAUUUCUCAAAGUAUAUCUGGUGUUAUACCAGUAAGUUUACCCGAAGAUAGAAAUGUCCUAUGAGUUUCCUGCCUUCUGUUCCUUUCUGUACUUCACUCUUUGCAUUUUCUCAUCACCCCUCCCAAAUAAUCCAUAGCUUGAAAAGAGGGAAAAAUACAAUAUGUUUAAGUUGAAUCAGUUUACCACUUAGAAUGGAUAAAGAAGGUAUUUUUCCCCUUGAAAAUUUAACCAAUUUUAACAGUGGAAUACUAAUGGACAAGUUUGACCUAUUUUAAAAUAAUAUAGCUAAACUAAGGAAACUGUCAACUAUUGUCCAGUGUGUUCUGAACAUUUGUGACGUUUGUAAUAAUUUUUCUCUCCAGACCUCAGUUGGAUGAACCUAUUCCACUGUACGAGGCAAAAGUUUCCAUGGAAGUUGUUCAAAAAAAUCAAGGAAGAAAAAAGCAAGUUGUUCAAUUUUAAUCUUCUUCUUUCUCAGACCUCAGCUGGAUGAACCAUCACAGUAUUUGAAGCC
rnacentral:lncRNA from 1 species